rnacentral:rRNA from 1 species
UCUUUUAAUUGGUGACUGGAAUGAAUGAAUUUAUAAAAUUAAUACUUUAUUUAAUUUAUUAUUAAAAAUUAAUUUAUAAGUGAAGAAGCUUAUAUAUUAUUAUAAGACAAGAAGACCCUAAUGAUUUUUAUUUUUAAGUUUUAUUAUUAAAUUAUUAUAUUAUUGUAAAAUUUAAUAAAAUUUUACUGGGGCGGUAUUUAAAUAUAUAAAUUUUAUUUAACUUUAAUUUAAAAAAAGAUUUUUAUCUUUAUAUAGAUCCAUAUUUAAGAUUUAAAGUAAAAAAUACCAUAGGGAUAACAGGCUAAUUAUUUUAGAUAGUUUAUAUUGAAAAAAUAGA